rnacentral:lncRNA from 1 species
AAAUAAAACUAUGAGUAUGACUACAGAGUCUCUAGGCAUCCCCUUCGUCGUCCUCCUGCGGAACGGGCUCGGGAACCAUGUCUUCCUGAUCUGAAAUGGUUAAAUAAGGAGUGAGAUACGCUAGCCCAGUAAGAACAUCACGAUAUCUCACCGUCACGGAGGUAAAGGUGGGUAGAAAAACACAAAAAGACCAAUGGAGCAUAAUUUACAAUAAACUCGUUUAUUAACAUGAAAACCUUCACCAUCCACUUACCUCGGUGGAAUUUAUGAAAACAAUAUAAGAAAAAUAAUAACAUUAUCAUAAUCAUGGAAUAAUAUAAGCUGUAAAACAUAACACUUAUCACGCCUCUUGUAAUUCAAUCCUUGUACAACAUAUCUUUUUCUCAUUUACCAGCCUACUAGUAU